rnacentral:rRNA from 1 species
UGCCAGCCGUCGCGGUAAUACGUAGGGAGCAAACGUUGUCCGGAUUUAUUGGGCGUAAAGGGCUCGUAGGCGGUUCAACAAGUCGGUCGUGAAAGCCCGGGGCUCAACCCCGGAACUGCCUCUGAUACUGGUAGUCUUGAGUUCGAGAGAGGUGAGUGGAAUUCCGAGUGUAGAGGUGAAAUUCGUAGAUAUUCGGAGGAACACCAGAGGCGAAGGCGGUCUCUUGGUCCGAAACUGACGCUGAGGCGCGAAAGCGUGGGGAGCAAACAGGAUUAGAUA